rnacentral:rRNA from 1 species
UUAGAGUUUGAUCCUGGCUCAGAAUGAACGCUGGCGGCGCGCCUAAUACAUGCAAGUCGAGCGAGAAGACGUAGCAAUACGUUUGUAAAGCGGCGAACGGGUGAGGAAUACAUUGGUAACCUACCCUCGAGUGGGGAAUAACUAGCCGAAAGGUUAGCUAAUACCGCGUACGCUUCUUGGACUUCGGUUCAGGGAGGAAAGCGAUACCGUGGGUAUCGCGCUCUUGGAUGGGCUCAUGUCCUAUCAGCUUGUUGGUGAGGUAACGGCUCACCAAGGCUUCGACGGGUAGCUGGUCUGAGAGGACGAUCAGCCACACUGGCACUGCGACACGGGCCAGACUCCUACGGGAGGCAGCAGUAAGGAAUAUUGCGCAAUGGGCGAAAGCCUGACGCAGCGACGCCGCGUGGGGGAUGAAGGUCUUCGGAUUGUAAACCCCUUUCGGGAGGGAAGAUGGAAUGGGGUAACCCAUUCGGACGGUACCUCCAGAAGCAGCCACGGCUAACUUCGUGCCAGCAGCCGCGGUAAUACGAAGGUGGCAAGCGUUAUUCGGAUUUACUGGGCGUACAGGGAGCGUAGGCGGUUCGGUAAGCCCUUUGUGAAAUCUCCAGGCUUAACCUGGAACAGUCGGAGGGGACUGCCGGGCUAGA